rnacentral:rRNA from 1 species
GAUGAACGCUGGCGGCGUGCCUAAUACAUGCAAGUCGAGCGAACAGACGAGGCUCUUGCUCCUCUGACGUUUGCGGCGGACGGGUGAGUAACACGUGUAUAACCUACCUAUAAGACUGGUAUAACUUCGGGAAACCGGAUCUAAUCCCGGAUAAUAUCUUGCACCGCAUUGUUCAAUAGUGAAAUUCGGUUUUGCUGUCACUUAUAGAUGGAUCUGCGCCGCAUUAGCUAGUUGUUAAGGUAACGGCUUACCAAGGCAACGAUGCGUAGCCGACCUGAGAGGGUGAUCGGCCACACUGGAACUGAGACACGGUCAAGACGACUGAGGGAGGCAGCAGUAGGGAAUCUGCCGCAAUGGGCGAAAGCAUGACGGAGUAACGCCGAGUGAGAGAUGAAGGUCUUCGGAUCGUAAAAAUCUGUUAUGAGGGAAGAACAAAUGUGGAAGUAACUAUGCACGGCGUGACGGUAACGAGUCAGAAAGCCACGGCUAACUACGUG